AUUGAACGCUGGCGGCAUGCCUUACACAUGCAAGUCGAACGGUAACAGGUCUUCGGAUGCUGACGAGUGGCGAACGGGUGAGUAAUACAUCGGAACGUGCCCGAGAGUGGGGGAUAACGAGGCGAAAGCUUUGCUAAUACCGCAUACGAUCUCAGGAUGAAAGCAGGGGACCGCAAGGCCUUGCGCUCACGGAGCGGCCGAUGGCAGAUUAGGUAGUUGGUGGGAUAAAAGCUUACCAAGCCGACGAUCUGUAGCUGGUCUGAGAGGACGACCAGCCACACUGGGACUGAGACACGGCCCAGACUCCUACGGGAGGCAGCAGUGGGGAAUUUUGGACAAUGGGCGCAAGCCUGAUCCAGCCAUGCCGCGUGCAGGAUGAAGGCCUUCGGGUUGUAAACUGCUUUUGUACGGAACGAAAAGACUCUGGUUAAUACCUGGGGUCCAUGACGGUACCGUAAGAAUAAGCACCGGCUAACUACGUGCCAGCCGCCGCGGUAAUAC
rnacentral:rRNA from 1 species